ACUUUAUUUGUAAUUUAAUUUUCAUGCUAUACCUGUGCAUAAGGUGACAGUAUUUUUAUGCUUUAUAUUAUUGCUUUUUUACAUUUCAUUGUCAUCUGGGAGUAUACAUAUAAUUAUGCCAUAUGCUUUAUAUCUGAAUAUUAUUUCAUUGUUUUAUCAUAUUUUAGUCAAGUUUUGUACUAUAAAAUGCAAGCACCAUGAAGUAGUAGUAAGUUACUGAAUCUGUAAUACAGAGUCAGUUUCUGGUCAAACUUUCAUUUGCUAUUUGGAAUUUCUAAAUUAUGGUUAAUAGCAUUAAGAGGCAUGAUUUAAUCAUAUUGUAAUUUAACCAUUGCUAGUGACCAGGUGGUUCAUUAAGAAUUGUUGAUGAACUACCUGGUCACUAGCAAAUGUUAAAUUAUAAUAUAGUUAAACUAUUCCUCUCCAUGCUUUUGACCAUAAAGUUAAAAAUCUAAUUUCAACUCUUAAGCUCACUUUUGUCCUCCCUAUUUCUCUUCAGAAAAAAAAUCCUAGUAUUCAGUAAUGCUUAUAAUAAUGAUUUCAAAAUAUGGCACAAAGCCACAAGUUUGUAAGAGAGGAUCAUAGAGAAUUGAAUUGACCUCAGAUACAAUUGAAGUAUAUGGUUACAAAAAAAGUAAACCAUGAACACUGAAGGGAUAUGAUCAAGAAAUGAGGCUGGCUUUAAGUUGCAUUUUUACUAAAUAUGGAAAAAGAAAUCAUAGUGCAGAGAGAAAGUUUCAUGUGUUGGAAAUAUAAAAGAAGUCAAGACAGUGCCAAAAGCUAUGCUAAACAGUCACCAAAUGAGAAAUUGGUGAGACUGGUGAGCAAAUUAUAUGCAAAUGAUCUUGUUAUUUGCCAGGCUAUUAGAUAAAAGCAUUACAGCUAUUCAUGGAUACAAGAAUAUAAAUCGUAAGGUUCCACAUUUCAGCUGGGCAUAUACAAGAUUCAUGAAUAAGAAUAGGUACAUUACCAAAAUGGUAGUAAUGAUUGUCUCAAGAAGCCAUUCUGUGGAUAUUAUAGAUGUGUAUUGUUAAUAAAGUUCAUUAAAAUCAUAUCAUAAAUGUUUACUUUAUUCAAACACUAUCAAAUGAAUUUAUAUGUACACCUAUAACCACUUUACAUAGUAUACUGGGAACCUUUUUUCAUUCCCCCAGCACUUGUGGGGUGGCUAUGCAGCUUGCUAGACUAUGAACUCUGAUAUUCCUUUACUAUUUUCAGUCAUUGAACAAUGGCCAUACUGAGCAAACCUAGAUAGAAUUUGAACUCAGAACAUUAAGGAUUUACCCAAAUACCUCAGAGUGUUUUGUUUGAUGCUCUAUUGAUUUUUUCUCUUUUUUUUUUAAAGAGGAAAGGCAACAGCUAUUCUGAAAUGUACAGUAAAUGUGACUCGAUUAAAUAAACUUGUUCCACACAAUGAA
rnacentral:lncRNA from 1 species